GUGAGUCAUCGAAUCUUUGAACGCACAUUGCGCCCGCCAGUAUUCUGGCGGGCAUGCCUGUUCGAGCGUCAUUUCAACCCUCAAGCUCUGCUUGGCGUUGGGGAUCGGCAGCCCGGCUUCGUGCCGCGCCGUCCCCCAAAUACAGUGGCGGUCACGCUGCAGCUUCCUUUGCGUAGUAGCACACCUCGCACCGGAGAGCAGCGCGGCCACGCCGUAAAACCCCCGACUUCUUGUUUUUGACCUCGAAUCAGGUAGGACUACCCGCUGAACUUAAGCAUAUCAAUAAGCGGAGGA
rnacentral:misc_RNA from 1 species